UACGUAGGGUGCGAGCGUUGUCCGGAAUUAUUGGGCGUAAAGAGCUCGUAGGCGGUCUGUCGCGUCGGUCGUGAAAACUUGGGGCUUAACCCUGAGCUUGCGGUCGAUACGGGCAUGACUGGAGUUCGGUAGGGGAGACUGGAAUUCCUGGUGUAGCGGUGAAAUGCGUAGAUAUCGGAAGGAACAUCAGUGGCGAAAGCGACUUCCUGGACCAAUACUGACGCUCAUGUGCGAAAGCGUGGGGAGCAAACAGG
rnacentral:rRNA from 1 species